rnacentral:misc_RNA from 1 species
GAAAUGCGAUAAGUAAUGUGAAUUGCAGAAUUCAGUGAAUCAUCGAAUCUUUGAACGCACCUUGCGCUCCUUGGUAUUCCUUGGAGCAUGCCUGUUUGAGUAUCAUGAAAUCUUCAAAGUAAAUCUUUUGUUAACUCAAUUGGUUUCUACUUUGGUAUUGGAGGUCUUUGCAGCUUCACACCUGCUCCUCUUUGUUCAUUAGCUGGAUCUCAGUGUUAUGCUUGGUUCCACUCGGCGUGAUAAGUUAUCUAUCGCUGAGGACACUGUAAAAGGUGGCCAAGGUAAAUGCAGAUGAACCGCUUCUAAUAGUCCAUUGACUUGGACAAUACUUUUAUGAUCUGAUCUCAAAUCAGAUAGAACUACCCGCUGAACUUAAGC